rnacentral:rRNA from 1 species
AAUGAACGCUGGCGGCAUGCCUAACACAUGCAAGUCGAACGAGACCUUCGGGUCUAGUGGCGCACGGGUGCGUAACGCGUGGGAAUCUGCCCCUUGGUUCGGAAUAACUCAGAGAAAUUUGAGCUAAUACCGGAUAAUGACGUAAGUCCAAAGAUUUAUCGCCUAGGGAUGAGCCCGCGUAGGAUUAGCUAGUUGGUGGGGUAAAAGCCUACCAAGGCGACGAUCCUUAGCUGGUCNGAGAGGAUGAUCAGCCACACUGGGACUGAGACACGGCCCAGACUCCUACGGGAGGCAGCAGUGGGGAAUAUUGGACAAUGGGCGAAAGCCUGAUCCAGCAAUGCCGCGUGAGUGAUGAAGGCCUUAGGGUUGU